AACGUAGGACGCGAGCGUUACCCGGAGUUACUGGGCGUAAAGCGCGGGCAGGCGGUGGUCUAAGUGGGACGUGAAAGCGCUGGGCUAAACCGAGCGAGGCCGUUCCAAACUAGGCCACUGGAGGGCAGUAGAGGUGGGUAGAAUUCCGGGUGGAGUGGUGAAAUGCGUAGAGAUCCGGAGGAAUACCAGAGGCGAAGGCGGCCCACUGGGCUGCACCUGACGCUGAGCCGCGAAAGCCAGGGGAGCGAACGGG
rnacentral:rRNA from 1 species